rnacentral:rRNA from 1 species
UACGUAGGGGGCUAGCGUUGUCCGGAAUCAUUGGGCGUAAAGAGCGUGUAGGCGGCCCGGUAAGUCCGCUGUAAAAGUCAAAGGCUCAACCUUUGAAUGUCAGUGGAUACUGCCGGGCUAGAGUCCGGAAGAGGCGAGUGGAACUCCUGGUGUAGCGGUGGAAUGCGCAGAUAUCAGGAAGAACACCAACGGCGAAGGCAGCCUCGCUGGGACGGUACUGACGCUGAGACGCGAAAGCGUGGGGAGCGAACAGG